CCACAUGUAUUGGCAAAUAAGUAACUUCAGGGAUACAAGUCUGUACAAGAGAGGAAACGUGCGCAAACAUGAACGAAACACACUGAAGAACACUUGACGUGUACACAAUGGAUUAGAGGGCCCACAUGCCAGAGCAAUCCAGCCCAAUCCAGCGUGGGUCCACGAGGGAAGAGGCCAAGGCUCACCACGGCAGCCCACCACGCAAAGGCGGUGGAGAGCCAGCCUAGCCCAGCGUUGGCCGAUGGGGUUCGGCCGAGCAUAGAUAGGCAGUUCUCGCCCUCAUCCUCCAUGUAGCGGUGCCUGGUUGACUGAGGAUGGCGGUGGGAGAAGAUUCCUCAAAGAUACCUCCCAAGAAUCGCCCUCAACCAUCUAUAAAAGGAGGAGUAGACCCCCCCCUCUACACACACCACACUUGAAGCCUCUCUCCCUCUCUCUCUCUCUCUCUUGUUACUCAUGUAAUCCUUAGGCUAGUGGAGCUAGACUAGAGCUGAAACUCUUGUAGUGCUAAGUUAGUCUUUAGGUCGGUUGGGGACGUAACCUCCAGCUCUCGGUAUGGCUUUGUACUCGACUCGUCGGUAUCCUACCUAUAAAGAGUAUGGUUGUUUUGCUAUUUCGGUAGUAUGCUAUGCCAUGACAUGUGCUUUAUUAAGUUAUACUCAUAUGCUUAGGCUGAAUCUAUGUUACUGCAUCGUUUCGUUGUGCCUUCGGGCUUGCUCUAGUUCUGUGCCUGUCAAUCAUCAUGGUCGGGGUUGUGAAGGGGCUAGAGUAGUGAUCACGUAUACGAGCAUGGUGCUCGGGCGCAUUAGGAUCCAUCGAAUAUGACUGUGCCCCAUGAUCUGAGGGGUGGGCGGCAGGUAGUGACAGCCCUGUCCGUCCCUUGUAGUCCCCCACGUUCGGGUAUGGUGUAGGAGUUCUGAAAGAUAUAUUGCCUUGGUAGACCAGAACCGGUUAUUCUCCCCGUAAUGCUAUAUGCCUAGAGUUAGCUGUAAUUCUAUGCUUGUAUGACCCUUGCUAGUAUAGAUAGAUGCCACUAGGACCUCUUGUACACCUUGCUCUCGCUAACCUUAGGUUUAUCCUUUUGUUCUUUAUUCAUGAGAUUGGCUUACCCCUGUAUGAACUUUAGUCUAUUAUUUAAGCUUAUGAUCCUGAAUAUGUAUUCGAUAAAUCCUUUUACACCAAUGCCAUCCUUUGGAAAAAUAUAAAUAACGAUACCCUAAAUACUCUUCGAGUGAAAUGCUACAACGGUAUAUCCGUGCGCUUGCGGAUUUAUUUGUGACGUUAAGAAAUAUCAACACACCCCCACCGGGCUCUCCACCGUCACCAUCCCUCCGGCAGUGGUCCUCCCAUUCCUUUUGCUGAUUCUCGGUGAGGCUCUUGAC
rnacentral:lncRNA from 1 species